rnacentral:tRNA from 1 species
AUGGGUGUGAUGGAAUUGGUAGACAUAUUAGAUUUAGGUUCUAAUGAUCAAAGAUCGUGGGGGUUCAAGUCCCUCCACCCAUA